AUGAUGUCUACCGUGUCGCCAGUGGGUGGAUGCUCUUGGCACCCCUAGCAAGCAGGCGGCACAGUCCUCUUUUAACCAAAUGAACUAGAGCUGGGGAGGGCAGCGACUUGCCCACAGGUCCCAGGUAGAGCACAGUCGGGUGAGCCAUCUCCACCCCACCACGGAUGGGGAAAGGGACAGGACGGGGUGACUUGAUGGGGAAGGGACAGGAUGGGGUGACUUGGGGGGCUGGGCUGAGCCGCAGGAGGCUUGCUCCCCACCCACCUCCCCUUCCUGUUGUCAGGGGCCUCCCCGUACCCUGGGGUGCAGAUCAAUGAGGAGUUCUGCCAGCGGCUGAGAGACGGCACAAGGAUGAGGGCCCCGGAGCUGGCCACUCCCGCCAUACGCCGCAUCAUGCUGAACUGCUGGUCCGGAGACCCCAAGGCGAGACCUGCAUUCUCGGAGCUGGUGGAGAUCCUGGGGGACCUGCUCCAGGGCAGGGGCCUGCAAGUGAGCCCCUUCCCCACCCUGUUCUACUAUGGCCUUUGGCCCCUGCCCUGGGUCCCUGGCCCGAGCUGCCCCUCCAAGCCCAUCUAGGCUCUGCCCACCUCUC
rnacentral:lncRNA from 1 species